UUGCUGGCCAACGGCAGGGUUUGAAGGAAGCGAUAGGAAGUUAACACGUACACAACGAAAGUGAACCUGAUUCGGCAAUUUAGGUGGGUAAGCGUGCAAAAUAGCGUGAAGCCCGAUACUCAAUCAGACCUAGAUUGUGCUUGAGGGUGGCAUUGUUAACAGGGAGCCAGUGC
rnacentral:ncRNA from 1 species